CUUCAACUGUCUGCCUUCCUGGAUCUGAUUCGCGCACACUCAACACUUCAGCAAAAAUGUUGGUCACUGCUGCGGUCGCAGCCUUUAUAACCCAUUGCGAGUGACGCUCUCACUCUUCCCCAUCCUUUGCAAUCUCUCCCUCCAUCCAUAAAUUCCCAUUUCUCCCAUUUAUUCGCAAAUCAUUACAGCAACAACUAUCGCCGCCAUUCUGUCCAAAAACGCAGCGGUGGAAAAUCUAGUAGGUCAUGGUAACCCUAACUAGGUGGCAUCUCCGCUGUACUAAAAACAUCUGUCUCGAAUUGGGUGGCAAGCCACACGCACAGCUGUCACAGACCACACUUCAUUUCCGCCAAUUGCCAUCGAAAAAGAAUACACACAAUUGCCCAGCCGAGAAACUACAUAUCAAAAAAUAAUAUCAAAAUGUUCCUCUGGCACUAAUAUGGCAAUUGUGUGUACAAAAACAAGAAACACAGCAAUCAAUCUGUCAUUGGGUAUAAUCCCAGGCACAGAUCUUAAUACCCCAUCAAAACUGGGUCAGGCCCCCUUCCUCGAAAAAUCAGACGCCAGCCCACAAGGAUAGGCUGGAGAGGGGAUGACGGCCAAGUUCCUAGCAAAGGGUCGCAUGGAAACUGUGGCCAAAAAAAAAACAACGGCAAAAAGUCGCCAGCUAGCACGCCUCCGCAAUACAUGCAUAAGAAAGCACGCAGUCCCCUUAUGCGUGUGUGUGUGUCCAAUGGCCGCAGGGCCAGGAAUGCCAUCGUCAGUCACAGACCUACACGGUCUGUAUAGGUCUCCGCACAUUCGACGACUUCUCAAUAAGCAUCACCCCCAUUAGGCCCCCAUGUCUCCCAAUGCCCUGCCGCCCGACUUUCCACCUUAUCACCCAUCAAUCCGGUCCAGCCCGUGCCGCAUAUAGAGCAAUAUAGCCCGGCCUACAACUGCCAACCGCCGGAAUCAUCUGUUCGCAGGGCCACGAGGCUCAAACGCUGUCCUCCGUUUCCCAGUUGAUACGCCCAUUAGGGUAUCACCCACCGCCCACGCAACAAAACUUCGACGCUUCCUCAUAUUGUAUGAUGGAAACGGCGAUGUGCGGGUUAGUGCAAUACACGGCUAGACAGGAUAAACGUAUGCGGGCCAAAGCCACCCGUGAGUCAACCUAGCAGAACAUGGGAAUCUCACUAGCCAUCCUAUCCAUCGCCCCCCCGCAUAGAUGAUCUCCCAUCCCGGUCAACAGUACCCAUUCACAGUGUUGGCGCGAUAACGUACCCAGUGGAGCCUGAGGGUACUUCUGGCAACCCGAUCUUAGGCGGUUAUGCUCCAGCAAAGAGCUUAUGAUCACCAGCCUGGACAGUUACUUCUUAAGGUGGACUUAUCCAGAUUUGACCAAGAAUCGGAUCCGGGGAGAAACAAAAAAAAACACCCUGGCCUCCGCUCGUCUGAGCCUGUUGGAGACCAGGAAUAACCAGUAUAGGUUUUGUUGGGACACUACACACAAGCAGAAUGGAGAGACAAAAAAAAAGAAACAUCAGUACCGAUAAAACAAUCACUCACAUAUUUACACUUAUAACUCACAUUAAAGGGUAAUUCCCCAAAAUAAUAAAUAUAGACCGAACACUGA